rnacentral:rRNA from 1 species
AACGAACGCUGGCGGCAUGCCUAACACAUGCAAGUCGAACGAGACCUUCGGGUCUAGUUGCUCACGGGUGCGUCACGCGUCGGAACCUUCCCUUAUGUUCGGAAUAACUCCCCGAAAGGGGUGCUAAUACCGGAUAAUUUCUUCUGACCAAUGAUGUAUCUCCUUUGGAUGUGCCCGCUUUGGAUUAGCUAUUUGGUAGGGUAAAAGCCUACCAAGGCGACGAUCCAUAGCUGGUCUGAGAGGAUGAUCCGACACACUGGGAGUGAGACACGGCCGAGACUUUUACGGGAGGCAGCAGUGCGGAAUAUUGGACAAUGGGCGAGAGCAUGAUGCAGUAAGGCCGCGUGAGUGAUGAAGGCGUUAGGGAUGUAAAGCACUUUUACCCGCGCUGAUAAUGACGGUACCGGGAGAAUAAGCUCCGGCUAACUCCGUG